rnacentral:rRNA from 1 species
AGUGAACGCUGGCGGUAGGCCUAACACAUGCAAGUCGAACGGCAGCACAGUAAGAGCUUGCCCUUACGGGUGGCGAGUGGCGGACGGGUGAGGAAUACAUCGGAAUCUACUUUUUCGUGGGGGAUAACGUAGGGAAACUUACGCUAAUACCGCAUACGACCUACGGGUGAAAGCAGUGGAUCUUCGGACCUUGCGUGAUUGAAUGAGCCGAUGUCGGAUUAGCUAGUUGGCGGGGUAAAGGCCCACCAAGGCGACGAUCCGUAGCUGGUCUGAGAGGAUGAUCAGCCACACUGGAACUGAGACACGGUCCAGACUCCUACGGGAGGCAGCAGUGGGGAAUAUUGGACAAUGGGCGCAAGCCUGAUCCAGCCAUGCCGCGUGGGUGAAGAAGGCCUUCGGGUUGUAAAGCCCUUUUGUUGGGAAAGAAAAGCAGCAGGUUAAUCCCCCGCUGUUCUGACGGUACCCAAAGAAUAAGCACCGGCUAACUUCGUG